UACAGAGGGGGCAAGCGUUGUUCGGAAUUAUUGGGCGUAAAGGGUGCGUAGGCGGUGCGGUAAGUCUUCUGUGAAAUCUCCGGGCUCAACUCGGAGUCUGCAGGAGAAACUGCCGUGCUUGAGUAUGGGAGAGGUGAGUGGAAUUCCUGGUGUAGCGGUGAAAUGCGUAGAUAUCAAGGAGGAACACCUGUGGCGAAAGCGGCUCACUGGACCAUAAACUGACGCU
rnacentral:rRNA from 1 species